UGCUUCAGUGAACAUUCAACGCUGUCGGUGAGUUUGGAGUUAAAGUCAAAACCAUCGACCGUUGAUUGUACCCUAUGGCUAA